UCCCAGACUCCUACGGGAGGCAGCAGUGGGGAAUAUUGGGCAAUGGGCGCAAGCCUGACCCAGCAAUGCCGCGUGAAGGAAGAAGGCUUUCGGGUUGUAAACUUCUUUGACAGGGGAAGAGCAGAAGACGGUACCCUGAAAACAAGCCACGGCUAACUACGUGCCAGCAGCCGCGGUAAUACGGAGGAUGCGAGCGUUAUCCGGAUUUUUUGGGUUUAAAGGGUGCGCAGGCGGUCUGUUAAGUCAGCGGUCAACGCCGGGGCCUCACCCCCGGCCUGCCGUUGAAACUGGUCUUCUUGAGUGAGCGAGAAGUAUGCGGAAUGCGUGGUGUAGCGGUGAAAUGUAUAGAUAUCACGCAGAACUCCGAUUGCGAAGGCAGCAUACCGGCGCUCAACUGACGCUGAGGCACGAAAGCGUGGGGAUCGAACAGGAUUAGAUACCCCAGUA
rnacentral:rRNA from 1 species